rnacentral:rRNA from 1 species
UCCGUAGGUGAACCUGCGGAAGGGUCAUG